UUUCCAAAGAAGGGUUUAAUACAUACACAUGAAAACCUGAUUGUAAAGCACCCAGCUCAGGCUGUGGUGAAGGCCAAAUCCUAUUUCUGUGAAUGCGGUGACUUGUCUUCUUAUGUGGUCUUUGUGCCUUUUAAACGGCUUCUUACUCCUUAUGGGGAAAAGGUAGAUGCAAGGGGGAGGGUAUUCUCAGGAACCACUGUGACCUGGGAAACCUGGGACCCAAGUACUUGGCAGAUCACCUGCCCUGAGGGAGCAAACCGGUUUCUUCGUACAGGGAAUGAGGACACUGCCUCAGUGCUCAGGCCUGUGGGGAGUUUCUUUCAUUCUGUUCCUGCACCCGGCCAGCAACUCAGAAAUCAAAACUUGCCAGGUCACAUCUUUUAUUUGUCUUAAUUUCUAGAAAUGUUCUUCCUAAUAGUUAAUACUGUACAAUGUUUUUUAAAAUAGAAGGCAGAUAAAAAAAUAGUCAUCUGAAGAAUGCCUCAAAACAAUUGCAAAAUUAUAGUCAAAGAUAUUUUCUUUUAUUCCAUGAGUCUAUCAAAAGGAUUGCAAUGAUGUUUGUUCUUCUUAAAAGGUGAUAUAUGCGUUCUGCUAAGUCCAGGGCCUAGCAUAGAGUGGACACUCACUAAAUGGCAAUGGUUUUUAACAAUCCCUUUUAAGAUUUAUUUUUUUAAAAUAUUUUUUUAUUAUUUAUUCAUGAGAGACACAGAGAGAGAGGCAGAGACACAGGCAGAGGGAGAAGCAGGCUCCAUGCAGGGAGCCCGAUGUGGAACUCGAUCCCAGGUCUUCAGGAUCACACCCUGGGCCGAAGGCAGGUGCUCAACUGCUGAGCCACCCAGGUGUCCUGCUGUUUAAGGUUUAUUGGCAGAAAAAAUAUUUGUCUCUUCUAAGAAAACUUUAUUUUUUAUAAAAUGAAUAAUUAGAAUUAUAUACUCUUCCUUAUUUACCUAUUUUUUAGAACUAGUAGAGAACUAACUUCGAUAAUUAUUGUAAUACUUAACACAUCUAUUUCUAGUUAUUUUACAAUUGUAAAAAAUUAGCUGUCUCCUGUUAUUUGGGUUUUAAUAUUCUGGUCAGCUUCAGAAUUUUUUAUGUUUAAAAUAUUUCAAAUGUGGCUCUUCCCUUUGGCGGCGGUGGUGCAGAUUGUUCAGCAAAGGUCUUGUUAAGGCUCGAGACCCUCGCACCAAGGGGAAGCCUCUUAAACUGCUGGAAGACCUGAGGUGGUGAUGUCCCAGCUUUGGGGCGCCAAACUGACAGGGUGUGUGGCUUCAAACUCUCCAGGAUGCGAGCUGUUAGCAAACCCAUCUCAGUGAUCUCACCUUCACCAACCAGACUCAGAAAGAGAACCUCAGGAAAUUCUACAGUGGUAGGAAGUACAAGCCCCCAGGUCUGCAGCCCCAGAAGACACAAGUCAUGUGCUGCCGACUGAACAAGGGGGAGAAACUGAAGACCAAGAAGCAGCCAUGGAAGGAGCAGCUGUACCCGUUGGGGGAGUCUGUGGUCAAGGGCUGAGCAUCUGCAUCAAUAAAAGACAAACACGCUGAGAAAAAAUUCAAAUAUCACAGGAAAGAUAGUCUGGAUAACCCAUUUGUGCUCCCACUUAAAAAACAGUAUUUUUGAACACAAACAUUCAUCUAGGAUGUAACACCUGAGUAAACUAGAACUGUUAAACAAUUUUCAGCUUUUCUCUAGUUCUAUUGUAGGAUGUACUUAAUAAGCAGCAAGUGUAUUUAGGUUAAAACAGUUGAAUUAUGUUAAAUGUUGUUCUUCUACCACGUUACAUUGAACACUGUUGGGAUGCAUGUUGAAAGACAUGCUUUUUUGUAAAACAAUAUAGGAGCUGUGUCUAUGAUUAAAAGUGAACACAUUUGGCAUGCUUGUUAAUUCUAGUUUCAUUUAGUAACCUCUAAGGCACGUAAGUUUAAGCUUUUUUUUUUUUUUUUAAGUUAAUGGGCAACUUUGAGACGCAACACCAUACGUUAGGAUUUUGGUCUUGGUGUUUGUAUGAAAUUCUGAGGCCUUGAUUUAAACUUUUCCUUGUAUCAUGAUUUCCUUUUAGGUGUAUUGCACUAAGUGAAACUUGUAAAAUAAAUCUUCUUUUAAAAACCG
rnacentral:lncRNA from 1 species